UACAGAGGUCUCAAGCGUUGUUCGGAUUCAUUGGGCGUAAAGGGUGCGUAGGCGGCGCGGUAAGUCGGGUGUGAAAUUUCGAGGCUUAACUUCGAAACUGCAUUCGAUACUGCCGUGCUAGAGGACUGGAGAGGAGACUGGAAUUUACGGUGUAGCGGUGAAAUGCGUAGAUGUCGUAAGGAAGACCAGUGGCGAAGGCGGGUCUCUGGACAGUUCCUGACGCUGAGGCACGAAGGCCAGGGGAGCAAACGGG
rnacentral:rRNA from 1 species